AUGCUGUCUGGCUGUGCUCAGCAGCCUGGCAGGUGGGAGGAGGGAGACAGCUGGUUGGGGUUUUGGGAACAGGGACCAUGUUUUAAUAAUCUCCAUAUCCCCAGCACAGAGUGGGAGCUGGAAAAUGUGUUGUUGGAUCAAAGGAUAGUUGAGUAGGGGGCCUUCAGAUGGCAAGGCAAGACAGGGCACUGAAGACUGAAGAAACUGCAUGAGCAAAGGCUGGAGGUGGUCACAGUGCCAGCUAGAUCUGGCAACCCUCUCUGUGAGGAAUACAGUAAUGCUGCCGCGUCAGAGGUGUCAUUACCAUUUUUUGGGCCAUUGCUUCAUGAGCAAAGACAGAUUGAAGUGUAUGAAUCCCCACUGCACCUAAAUGCAGAUAAACAUGACGAACGGUAAUGGCUCCGGAGGAAUCAACGGGAGUGUUUCCAGCAGCAGGUGAGUUGUGGGCGCUGGAAAUGAGCAUUUG
rnacentral:lncRNA from 10 species